AACGAACGCUGGCGGCAGGCCUAAAACAUGCAAGUCGAACGCCCUAGCAAUAGGGAGUGGCGCACGGGUGAGUAACACGUGGGAAUGUGCCUUUUGGUACGGAACAACUUUUGGAAACGAAAGCUAAUACCGUAUGGUCCCUUCGGGGUAAAGAUUUAUCGCCAAAAGAGCAGCCCGAGUCUGAUUAGCUAGUUGGCGGGGUAAUGGCCCACCAAGGCGACGAUCAGUAGCUGGUCUGAGAGGACGAUCAGCCACACUGGGACUGGGACACGGCCCAGACUCCUACGAGAGGCAGCAGUUAGGAAUAUUGGACAAUGGGCGCAAGCUUGAGCCAGCCAGGCCGCGUGAGUGAUGAAGGCCUGCGGGUUGUAAAGCUCUUUAGUCCACGAAUAUAAUGACUGUAGUGGAAGAAUAAGCCCCGGCUAACUUCGUGCCAGCCGCCGCAGUAAGAC
rnacentral:rRNA from 1 species